AUUGAACGCUGGCGGAAUGCUUUACACAUGCAAGUCGAACGGCAGCACGGACUUCGGUCUGGUGGCGAGUGGCGAACGGGUGAGUAAUGUAUCGGAACGUGCCCAGUCGUGGGGGAUAACGUAGUGAAAAUUACGCUAAUACCGCAUACGAUCUAUGGAUGAAAGCGGGGGAUCGCAAGACCUCGCGCGAUUGGAGCGGCCGAUAUCAGAUUAGGUAGUUGGUGGGGUAAAGGCCCACCAAGCCAACGAUCUGUAGCUGGUCUGAGAGGACGACCAGCCACACUGGAACUGAGACACGGUCCAGACUCCUACGGGAGGCAGCAGUGGGGAAUUUUGGACAAUGGGCGAAAGCCUGAUCCAGCCAUUCCGCGUGCAGGAUGAAGGCCCUCGGGUUGUAAACUGCUUUUGUACAGAACGAAAAGGUUUCUACUAAUACUAGGAGCUCAUGACGGUACUGUAAGAAAGCACCGGCUAACUACGUGCCAGCAGCCGCAGUAA
rnacentral:rRNA from 1 species